CAUGCAGUCGGACGGCAGCGGGCCCUUCGGGGCGCCGGCGAGUGGCGGACGGGUGAGUAACGCGUAGGAAUCUGCCCUGUAGUGGGGGACAACUUAGGGAAACUUAAGCUAAUACCGCAUACGCCCCAAGGGGGAAAGCGGGGGACCUUCGGGCCUCGCGCUAUAGGAUGAGCCUGCGUUGGAUUAGCUAGUUGGCGGGGUAAAGGCCCACCAAGGCGACGAUCCAUAGCUGGUCUGAGAGGACGAUCAGCCACACUGGGACUGAGACACGGCCCAGACUCCUACGGGAGGCAGCAGUGGGGAAUAUUGGACAAUGGGCGCAAGCCUGAUCCAGCAAUACCGCGUGUGUGAAGAAGGCCCGAGGGUUGUAAAGCACUUUCAAUUGGGAGGAAAAAGGCAAGCCCAAUACGCCUGCCCUUGACAUUACCUUUAGAAGAAGCACCGGCUAACUCCGUGCCAGCAGCCGCGGUAAUACGGAGGGUGCGAGCGUUAAUCGGAAUUACUGGGCGUAAAGCGUGCGUAGGCGGCCCGCCAAGUCAGAUGUGAAAGCCCUGGGCUCAACCUGGGAACGGCAUUUGAAACGGGCGGGCUAGAGUUGGGUAGAGGGGAGUGGAAUUCCGGGUGUAGCGGUGAAAUGCGUAGAUAUCCGGAGGAACACCAGUGGCGAAGGCGGCUCCCUGGACCCAAACUGACGCUGAGGUACGAAAGCGUGGGUAGCAAACAGGAUUAGAUACCCUGGUAGUCCACGCCGUAAACGAUGUCGACUAGCCGUUGGGCNCUUAUAGGGCUUAGUGGCGCAGCUAACGCAUUAAGUCGACCGCCUGGGGAGUACGGCCGCAAGGUUAAAACUCAAAUGAAUUGACGG
rnacentral:rRNA from 1 species